AGGUAAAUUUCUUCUAAAGCUAAAUACCGGCCAGAGACCGAUAGCGCACAAGUAGAGUGAUCGAAAGAUGAAAAGCACUUUGGAAAGAGAGUUAAAAAGUACGUGAAAUUGUUGAAAGGGAAGCGCUUGCAGCCAGACUUGUCCGCAGUUGCUCAGCCUGUCUCCUGACAGGCGCACUCUUCUGCGGCCAGGCCAGCAUCAGUUCGGGCGGUCGGAUAAAGACCCGGGGAAUGUAGCUCCUCUCGGGGAGUGUUAUAGCCCUGGGUGCAAUGCGGCCAGCCUGGACUGAGGAUCUCGCUUCGGCUAGGAUGCUGGCGUAAUGGCUGUAAGCGGCCCGUCUUGAAACACGGACCAAGGAGUCUAACAUCUAUGCGAGUGUUUGGGUGUCAAACCCAUGCGCGUAAUGAAAGUGAACGGAGGUGGGAACCCUCACGGGUGCACCAUCGACCGAUCCUGAUGUCUUCGGAUGGAUUUGAGUAAGAGCAUAGCUGUUGGGACCCGAAAGAUGGUGAACUAUGCCUGAAUAGGGUGAAGCCAGAGGAAACUCUGGUGGAGGCUCGCAGCGGUUCUGACGUGCAAAUCGAUCGUCAAAUUUGGG
rnacentral:rRNA from 1 species